rnacentral:rRNA from 1 species
GAUGAACGCUAGCGGCAGGCCUAAUACAUGCAAGUCGGACGGGAUAGGAGAGCUUGCUUUCCUUGAGAGUGGCGCACGGGUGCGUAACACGUAUGCAACCUACCUUUGUCAGGGGGAUAGCCUCUCGAAAGAGAGAUUAAGACCGCAUAACAUUAUUGAGUGGCAUCAUUUAAUAAUCAAAUAUUUAUAGGACAAAGAUGGGCAUGCGGAACAUUAGCUAGUUGGUAAGGUAACGGCUUACCAAGGCUACGAUGUUUAGGGAUCUGAGAGGAUGAUCCCCCANACUGGUACUGAGACACGGACCAGACUCCUA